rnacentral:lncRNA from 1 species
GCAGUCCCAAGCCCCGAGAGCCACCAGGAGUGGAAGGCAAGAGAGCAGGAGGCAGAUGUUCUUGACUCAGCCCUGGGUCGCGUCAACCUGUGCCUCCAGAUGUCCCCAGAUGUCCCAGAGCCUGCAGAAUCCCUUGUGCUAUCUCAUCUCCUUUCCUGUGCUUGCUGAUGAUGACUUUGGUGCUGAGCUAAGUUCCCACAGACGGUAGCAUUUCUGCUGGUAAGCAGGCUGGGGCUGGGGAUGUCUGGUCUUACAGUUGCACCUGUCCAAAUGAAAUGUUC